CGUCUUGACGGUACCUAAUCAGAAAGCCACGGCUAACUACGUGCCAGCAGCCGCGGUAAUACGUAGGUGGCAAGCGUUAUCCGGAAUUAUUGGGCGUAAAGCGCGCGUAGGCGGUUUUUUAAGUCUGAUGUGAAAGCCCNCGGCUCAACCGUGGAGGGUCAUUGGAAACUGGAAAACUUGAGUGCAGAAGAGGANANUGGAAUUCCAUGUGUAGCGGUGAAAUGCGCAGAGAUAUGGAGGAACACCAGUGGCGAAGGCGACUUUCUGGUCUGUAACUGACGCUGAUGUGCGAAAGCGUGGGGAUCAAACAGGAUUAGAUACCCUGGUAGUCCACGCC
rnacentral:rRNA from 1 species